rnacentral:rRNA from 1 species
CAGCCGCCGCGGGAAUACAGAGGAUGCAAGUGUUAUCCGGAAUGAUUGGGCGUAAAGCGUCUGUAGGUGGCUCUUCAAGUCCGCCGUCAAAUCCCAGGGCUCAACCCUGGACAGGCGGUGGAAACUACCAAGCUGGAGUACGGUAGGGGCAGAGGGAAUUUCCGGUGGAGCGGUGAAAUGCGUAGAGAUGUGGAGGAACACCAGUGGCGAAGGCGACUCUCUGGUCUGUAACUGACGCUGAGGAGCGAAAGCGUGGGGAGCGAACAGGAUUAGAUACCCCGGUAGUCCCUGUCUCUUAUAC